rnacentral:lncRNA from 1 species
CCUUUAUGUUUUAUCUGUAAAUUAUUUGGAUUUUUCAAAUAUAAAAUUGUUCUCCUUUAGGAGUAUCAAAGAAGACAUCAAUCAAACGAGAUCAUUUUACUUUGACCAUUAAGCAAUUGUUGUUGUGUAAGUUGGUAGGCAUACCAGUGUCCCUCCCUCUUGCAAACUAGGAGUAAAGGCUAUGAGACUUCUGCCUCAGGGUCAGGACAUGGCCGGAGUGUGGAUGCGUGGACAGUAGGUAAUCCCUCAAGAAGGGAAUGGGGGAAAGUUCUGUCUGUGAAGCAUCUCCAAGGAUGGUACUUUUUGUGCUUGGAGACAUU